rnacentral:rRNA from 1 species
UGACCUCGGAUCAGGUAGGAAUACCCGCUGAACUUAAGCAUAUCAAUAAGCGGAGGAAAU